rnacentral:rRNA from 1 species
GAUGAACGCUGACAGAAUGCUUAACACAUGCAAGUCAACUCGAAGCAGUUUCGGCUGUGGAUGGUGGCGGACGGGUGAGUAACGCGUAAAUAACUUGUCCUUUAGACUGGGACAACUGUUGGAAACGACAGCUAAUACCGGAUAUUAUGAAACCUUGGCAUCAAGGGAUUAUGAAAGCUAUAUGCGCUAGAGGAGAGAUUUGCGUCCUAUUAGCGAGUUGGUGAGGUAAUGGCUCACCAAGGCGACGAUAGGUAGCCGGCCUGAGAGGGUGAACGGCCACAAGGGGACUGAGACACGGCCCUUACUACUACGGGAGGCAGCAGUGGGGAAUAUUGGACAAUGGACCAAGAGUCUGAUCCAGCAAUUCUGUGUGUUUGAUGAAGGCCUUCGGGUUGUAAAGAACUUUAAGUAGGGAAGAAGAAAGUGACGGUACCUACAGAAUAUGCGACGGCUAAAUACGUGCCAGCAGCCGCAGUAA